UUCUGCUAAAUCAAACUAAUUUGAUAUCCUUCCCUUAUCCUCUCCCCAUUAUUUCUAUAACCCACAGUGCAGGAUAUUCAUAAAAAAGAAGGAGAUAUAACUCUACUCAGCUGUGAGGUUCAGUUCCAGGUUCCUACAGAUAGGACCAUCCGGUGGAAAUUUGCCAAAGAUAUCAGAACCCGGGAUCUUUACCUCUUCCGAGACCUAAGCUUUGGGCUCAGCCCAACGCUCAUCAUCCGACCCACCUUGGGAUCUCAUCAUGGGACAUUUAUCUGCCAGAUUGCUGAAGGUGAUGAUGUGCUCCUCAGAAAAUACUUCUACCUCAAUGGUGAGGAUGCAUCACUUGGUUUAGUUCGGACAAGUUGGGACAGAAUAUGCGAGAGAUUUAUUAUUGGAGAAGGAGAUACAGCAGUGUCCUUGAGGGAGAUUAGAUUAGAUUACAUUAGAAUUGUCAUGUUCAAAGGAGGAAGACCAUCAUGAUCUCUAUUCUACCAAAGUGCCCUGCAAUAAAAUGUUGCGGCGUGGAAUACUAAUAACUCCCACAUCAGUGGAAGUGGUGAAUCAGCUCUGGGUUUUACUCUGAAUUUAAAGGAGCUCUCCAAGAAGCAGAACCUAUAUUGGGAUAGAGAUUUAUUCACAUAUUUAUUUGCUUUAUAUCCUCCUUUUCUCCCAAAUGAGACUCAAAAUGGCAAUUAAAAUAGGACAGCUAUGACAAUAUGGAGGACAAACAUUUUAAAAGCCUUAAACCAGUGGUUCUCAACCUUCCUAAUGCCGUGACCUUUUAAUACAAUUCCUCAUGUUGUGGUGACCCCUCGGAUAGAGGAGUGUUAUCUUGGUUCUAGAUAAAUGUUCCAUGAUACCUCCAAAGUGACCCGAAUCAGCUUUAUUUUGGCCUGUCUGUUUGGGCCCUAUGUUUCUAUUAAUGCCGGCUAAAAUAGCAUUCACCUUCUUUGCUGCAUCACCACGCUGCUGGCUAAUGCUCAAUUUAUGAUGAACAAUAAUCCCAAGGUGCUUUUGUCAUGCAGGACUGCUGAGCUAUGUAUCUCUCAUGCUAUGUAUGCAUUUGGUUUUUGUGGCCUAAAUGUAGAAUUUUGCAUUUGUGUAUAUUGCAUUUCAUAUUUUUAAGAAUGGAGGGCAAGUGGCCAUGGACCCUUCUUAUCAGGAUAAGCAGGACGGCCCAAAUAGACAACAGGAGUACCUAAUCACAUUUUGCAUGACAGAGAAAAGACUCGGGCUUGAGAAGAAACUGCAGGAGAUGUUCAAAGCCAUCCUGAACCCGGCACCGGAGGCAGAGCAAGAUUUGGUGGAGAAAAAGAGAUUUUCCCUGCAAGAAGCGCUCUCUGGUCCAGACUACCUGAGUAAAAAGAAUGUCAUCCUCAUCAUCAUAGGGAUAGCCCUGAGCUCCAUGCUCUUGACCAUGUUGGUACUGACAGUUUAUCAUUGGGCCACAGACAUUUGAUCCUGAGUUGAGAUGAAACUUCAUGGAACCACUUGCCUCUCCUUCUUUCUUUUCCUCCAUCUUGCCUUGGUAAAGAAAUGUCUUUAUGCACUGAAAUCAUUUUUGUUGCUGUUAUUUGUUGACUUCGACACAUGGCUGACUUUGACAUCCAGUCGACUUCGACAUAUGUUGUUGUUGCUGCUGUGGUUAUCAUUAUUAUUAUUUGUAUCCUGCUCUUUUUGCAAAACUGGGAUCCAGAAUGGCUCAGAAUAUUAAAAGAGUGCAAUUAAAAACAUGCAAAAGUGAUGCAUUAAAAUACAUAGAACUAAAGUAUUACGAUAUUAAAAUAGAUUCAUGCGAGACCUCCAAGAUCCCCGGUCAUCAACUGCUCUGCUUAGGUAUUGCAAACUUGCUAUGGCUUCCAUGACUAAAUAAAUCCAUCUAUGGAGCAGUCUUCCUCUUUUCCUAUUGCUUUCCACUUUGCAAGUUGUAUGCUUUCAGGUCAUUUCUGACUUGUGGCAACCCUAAAGUGACCCUAUCUUGGCAAGAUUCGUUCAAAGGUGUUUGGACAUUGCCGCCCUCUAAGGCUGAGAGAGCAUGACUUGCUCAAAUGGGUUUCUAUAGCCAUGCAGGGAUUUG